rnacentral:rRNA from 1 species
AUUGAACGCUGGCGGCAUGCUUUACACAUGCAAGUCGAACGGCAGCGCGGGCUUCGGCCUGGCGGCGAGUGGCGAACGGGUGAGUAAUACAUCGGAACGUGCCCAGUAGUGGGGGAUAGCUCGGCGAAAGCCGGAUUAAUACCGCAUACGACCUGAGGGUGAAAGCGGGGGAUAUUCGGACCUCGCGCUAUUGGAGCGGCCGAUGGCAGAUUAGCUAGUUGGUGGGGUAAAGGCCUACCAAGGCGACGAUCUGUAGCUGGUCUGAGAGGACGACCAGCCACACUAGGACUGAGACACGGCCCAGACUCCUACGGGAGGCAGCAGUGGGGAAUUUUGGACAAUGGGCGAAAGCCUGAUCCAGCAAUGCCGCGUGUGUGAUGAAGGCCUUCGGGUUGUAAAGCACUUUUGGCGGGAACGAAAAGGACUGUGCCAAUACCACGGUUCGAUGACGGUACCCGCAGAAUAAGCACCGGCUAACUACGUG